AGCCGUAAACAAUGUGCGUUAGGUGUGUCGGUAACCACGCGUUACUGAUGCGCCGAAGAGAAAUCGUGAAACGCACCACCUGGGAAGUACGGUCGCAAGGCUGAAACUUAAAGGAAUUGGCGGGGGAGCACCACAACAGGUGGAGCCUGCGGUUUAAUUGGAUUCAACGCCGGACAUCUCACCGGAUAAGACAGCUGAAUGAUUGUCAAUCUGAAGGUUUUACAUGACUAGCUGAGAGGUGGUGCAUGGCGUCAGUGACU
rnacentral:rRNA from 1 species